AGAGUUUGAUCAUGGCUCAGAUUGAACGCUGGCGGUAUGCUUAACACGUGCAAGUCGAACGGUAACAUGGGAGCUUGCUCCUGAUGACGAGUGGCGGACGGGUGAGUAACGCGUAGGAAUCUGCCUAGUAGUGGGGGACAACCAAGAGAAAUUUUGGCUAAUACCGCAUACGCCCUACGGGGGAAAGCGGGGGAUCUUCGGACCUCGUGCUAUUAGAUGAGCCUGCGUUGGAUUAGCUAGUUGGUGAGGUAAUGGCUCACCAAGGCGACGAUCCAUAGCUGGUCUGAGAGGACGAUCAGCCACACUGGGACUGAGACACGGCCCAGACUCCUACGGGAGGCAGCAGUGGGGAAUAUUGGACAAUGGGCGCAAGCCUGAUCCAGCAAUACCGCGUGUGUGAAGAAGGCCUGCGGGUUGUAAAGCACUUUCAAUUGUGAAGAAAAGCUUGAGAUUAAUAAACUUAAGUCUUGACGUUAACUUUAGAAGAAGCACCGGCUAACUCCGUGCCAGCAGCCGCGGUAAUACGGAGGGUGCAAGCGUUAAUCGGAAUUACUGGGCGUAAAGCGCGCGUAGGCGGCUUGUUAAGUCGGAUGUGAAAGCCCUGGGCUCAACCUGGGAACUGCAUUCGAUACUGGCAAGCUAGAGUAUGGUAGAGGGUAGUGGAAUUCAGAGUGUAGCGGUGAAAUGCGUAGAGAUUCUGAGGAACACCAGUGGCGAAGGCGGCUACCUGGACCAAUACUGACGC
rnacentral:rRNA from 1 species